GUGGAGCGGGAGCGCCAUUUUUCUAAAAUCGGCUACUAGCUAGUUAACGUUAUGUGUUAAUAGUUACAAUCUGGAUAGCGUACAUCCUUUGUCUCGGCGAGACUGCGACCCAUCAACGUUUGGAGAGUUUUGCUUUGUGACUACUGGGAUCCAUUAAAAAAGAAUGACCAGCCUAAAUGGUGAAAACCAUCAGGACUACAUCUCCAACAAUGCCACUCACCUGCAAGACCUGAUGUGUCUGUCGACCGCGCUGGGGAAUGUUUCUGUUCAGACGGUCCAUAUCCACCGCGUUGUCAAUCACUCCGUCAGAAGCAUGGAAAUCCUGCAGGAAUACAGGUACAGACCCUGACUUUCAUCACCAAAACAACAAACUGAACAGAAUAUAACUGAACAAGAUCCAACAAAAGACAACAAGAAAUACCCAGCACACUGCCUCCAAUGAAACCAAAAUAAAGACUCGCACUUAUGCGUCUGUCUGGCCUGGAGGAAGGUUUAUCAUCCCCAUCGGUAAUUUCCGCUGGUGAGUCAUGCUGAUGGUGAUUCAGCUCACCCCACACGCGUGCGAGAAUCACAACCUCCAAACAAUCAGAGCUGGUCCUCCCUGGAGGCUCCACUGAGACAACACUCACGCUAUGACCCUCUCUCCGUCUCACAAUCAUCCUCACAUCAUCACAGUGCUGUCUGGCUCUCCCAAAAAAAUCCCCGUCCCAAAUUCCAGCCCCACUGUUCAGACGUUUCUCACUUCAGGAUUUGACUAAACAAACACGUUAGGCUGUGCACCUUUAUUUGGAAUGUAUAUGACAUUCCCAAAAAAGCGUAUCAUAUA